AGCGAACGCUGGCGGCAGGCUUAACACAUGCAAGUCGAACGCCCCGCAAGGGGAGUGGCAGACGGGUGAGUAACACGUGGGAACGUACCCUUUGGUUCGGAAUAACUUGGGGAAACUCAAGCUAAUACCGGAUAAGCCCUUAUGGGGAAAGGUUUACUGCCGAAGGAUCGGCCCGCGUCUGAUUAGCUAGUUGGUGAGGUAAUGGCUCGCCAAGGCGACGAUCAGUAGCUGGUCUGAGAGGAUGAUCAGCCACACUGGGACUGAGACACGGCCCAGACUCCUACGGGAGGCAGCAGUGGGGAAUAUUGGACAAUGGGGGCAACCCUGGUCCAGCCAUGCCGCGUGAGUGACGAAGGCCUUCGGGUUGUAAAGCUCUUUCGGAUGUGAAGAUAAUGACAGUAGCAUAAGAAGAAGCUCCGGCUAAACUCGUGCCAGCCGCCGCCGUAA
rnacentral:rRNA from 1 species